AUACUUACCUGGCAGGGGAGAUACCAUGAUCACGAAGGUGGUUUUCCCAGGGCGAGGCUCACCCAUUGCACUUUGGGGUGUGCUGACCCCUGCGAUUUCCCCAAAUGCGGGAAACUCGACUACAUAAUUUGUGGUAGUGGGGGAGCUGCGUUCGCGCGCUCCCCUG
ensembl:snRNA Gm24830 predicted gene, 24830